rnacentral:lncRNA from 1 species
CAUCAAUAGUAGCACAAUUUACAAUAGCCAACCUAUGGAGCCAACCCAAGUGCCCUUGAACAGAUAAAUGGAUUAAAAAUGUGGCAUAUAUACACAAUGAAGCAUAACUCAGCUGUAAAGAAGAAUAAAAUUAUGGCAUUUGCCAGUAAGUGGAUGGAACUGGAAACUAUCAUGCUAAGUGAAAUAAGUCAGACAAUAAAUAAGUCAAAGGUAGAAUGUUUUCUUUGAUAGCGAAGAUAAUGAAAAAUAAGAGAGCAGAUAAAAGAAAGAGAGAGAAAGAGGAAAAAAGGAGAGGGAAUUUCAUCAAAAUAGAGGAUAGAUAACAGAAUAGAUGAAAAACAUUGAGGAGAGAAGAAGGAGGAAUGGGAAAAGGGAAGAACAGUGGAAAGAAACUGACCACAAUUUCAUAUGUGUAUGCAUGAAUAUAGCAUAGUGGAUUCCAACAUCAUGUAUAUCCACAAGACACUAAUCAAAAAAAAACAAAAACCUAUAAAUAUAUUACAGAAGAUCAGCAGAAUACAGGGACGAGUGCACAGGAUGGUAUGAAGGAGGAGGAGGGAACUGCUGGAGACUGAAUUAGAGCAGAUUAUACCAUGCUUUUGUGAUUGGGUCAAAAUCUAUCCUAAUGUUAUAUAUAAAUAAAAAAUAAUUUUUAAAAAAGAAAAAAAAAAACAUCGGAACAAGAGGAGUGUGCCUGAAAUACGAGCUACUUGGCAAGCUGAGGAAAAGUAUUGCUUGAACCCAAUGUUCAAGGCCAGCCUGGGCAACCUAGUGAGAUCCCAUCUCCAGAACAACAACAACAACAAAACAAUACAGGA